rnacentral:tRNA from 1 species
AAAAAUUUAGUUAAAUUAUAACGUUAGAUUGUCAAUCUAAAAUAACUAUUAUUAGUAAUUUUUA